rnacentral:rRNA from 1 species
UACGUAGGGCGCAAGCGUUAUCCGGAAUUAUUGGGCGUAAAGAGCUCGUAGGCGGUUUGUCGCGUCUGCCGUGAAAGUCCGGGGCUCAACUCCGGAUCUGCGGUGGGUACGGGCAGACUAGAGUGCGGUAGGGGAGAAUGGAAUUCCUGGUGUAGCGGUGGAAUGCGCAGAUAUCAGGAGGAACACCGAUGGCGAAGGCAGGUCUCUGGGCAUUAACUGACGCUGAGGAGCGAAAGCAUGGGGAGCGAACAGG